rnacentral:lncRNA from 1 species
CCAUCUCUCUCUUCCUGCCUCUCUGCCUACUUGUGAUCUGUCUGUCAAAUAAAUAAAUAAAAUUUAAAAAAAAUACUAUUUAACACCAAUUAUGUAUCAGUUCAAAGGAAAGUCAGAUCUCCCUCAUUUUAUAAACUAUGGGGAGCAGUGUGUUUUAAAGAUACAAAAGUGUGAUCACCACUCUGCAGUAAACAUAGCUUUGUUUUUUCCUUAUUUGAGAAUAUAUGCAAGUUGUAUAGAAUUUAGAAAAAAUGAGCAAUGGGCACCUGGGUGGCUCAGUGGGUUAAGCCUCUGCCUUCGGCUCAGGUCAUGAUCUCAGGGUCCUGGGAUCGAGCCCCGCAUCGGGCUCUCUGCUCAGCGGGGAGCCUGCUUCCCCCUCUCUCUCUCUGCCUGCCUCUCUGCCUACUUGUGAUCUCUCUCUGUCAAAUAAAUAAAUAAAAU